rnacentral:rRNA from 1 species
CCCUUAGAUGUCCGGGGCCGCACGCGCGCUACACUGAAGGAAUCAGCGUGGCUUUCUCCCUGACCCGAAAGGGUUGGGAAACCCGUUGAAUCUCCUUCGUGAUAGGGAUUGGGGCUUGAAAUUGUUCCCCAUGAACGAGGAAUUCCCAGUAAGCGCGAGUCAUAAGCUCGCGUUGAUUACGUCCCUGCCCUUUGUACACACCGCCCGUCGCUACUACCGAUUGAACGGUUUAGUGAGGGCCUCGGGUUGGUCUCGGCCCGCUCUUUACCGGGCGGCGCCGUUGGUCGAGAAGACGCUCGAACUUGAUCGUUUAGAGGAAGUAAAAGUCGUAACA